rnacentral:rRNA from 1 species
UACGAGGGGGGCAAGCGUUGUUCGGAAUUAUUGGGCGUAAAGGGCGCGUAGGCGGUCUGACAAGUCUUGUGUGAAAUCUCUGGGCUCAACCCAGAGUCUGCACAGGAAACUGUCGGGCUAGAGUAUGGGAGAGGUGCGUGGAAUUUCCGGUGUAGCGGUGAAAUGCGUAGAUAUCGGAAGGAACACCUGUGGCGAAAGCGGCGCACUGGACCAAACUGACGCUGAGGCGCGAAAGCUAGGGGAGCAAACAGG